rnacentral:rRNA from 1 species
UACGGAGGGGGCUAGCGUUGUUCGGAAUUACUGGGCGUAAAGCGCACGUAGGCGGCUUUGUAAGUUAGAGGUGAAAGCCCGGGGCUCAACCCCCGGAAUAGCCUUUAAGACUGCAUCGCUUGAACACGGGAGAGGUGAGUGGAAUUCCGAGUGUAGAGGUGAAAUUCGUAGAUAUUCGGAAGAACACCAGUGGCGAAGGCGGCUCACUGGACCGUUGUUGACGCUGAGGUGCGAAAGCGUGGGGAGCAAACAGG